rnacentral:lncRNA from 1 species
GGUGAAGUCUGGAGCAGGACUCUGAGACUUUCCAUCCUCCAUGCAGCUCACUAAAAAGGGGGCUGUGAACUGUGCACUGGCUCUACCUGACAGGAAGCAUUUCUGGCCCAGCUGGAAGUGA